GGGAAUGACUACACCUUGGAUGAGAGUUUGGUACAUUAAAUAGGAAUAGAGUGGGACUUCACCCUCCACUAUAGCCUUCUGACUCAGAUUCCAAAGUGCUAUUUGAAUUCAGAUUUCCAGUAUCUGCCGUGUCUCCCUUUCUUGGGCUGACAUGUUGAGGGGUCACAGUCCCAAAAUUAAAGGUCAGCCAUUCAGAACACAGAUGAAAAGAAAUUUCUUCACUUCAGU